AUUAUCUGUACGUGUAGCAGGGAGUCCUUGACGAGGCAUACUAUAACAUCAAGAAAUCUCUAUCCUCCCGACACGCUCGCAUAGGACUGCCUCCUUCCGUCUAUCUCGUGUCUGAAUAGAAGUUACCUCGUAAGAGGAGCCAGCGCACAGGACGCCAGAACCCAUACCUGAACGUUUAAACGUCUCAACCUCCCGACUUCCGCUUCCGGUUUCUGGGCUCUGCUGGCUGCCUUCACUAUGGAAGAACCUGAGAUGCAGCUGAAGGGAAAGAAAGUCACAGACAAGUUCACCGAGAGUGUCUAUGUCCUUGCCAACGAGCCGUCAGUGGCCCUGUACCGGCUACAGGAACAUGUGCGCCGUUCACUGCCAGAGCUGGCCCAGCACAAGGCUGACAUGCAGAGAUGGGAAGAGCAGAGCCAGGGCGCCAUAUACACCGUGGAGUACGCCUGCAGAGCCCACAUGGUGGAAGAAGAGCACUGACUCCUGUAGGUGUCCUCUGACCUCCACGGAUGCCUCGGAAGAUGCAUCACCUCCAUAAAUAAUUGGUUUAAGUGCUGUGAAGAGCUUGGUGGACAGCAGCGUGUACUUCCGUAGUGUGGAAGGCCUGCUCAAACAGGCCAUCAGUAUCCGGGACCACAUGAACACCAGUGCCCAAGGCCACAGCCAGGAGAAACUGUCCCCUCCUCCUUCCCUGGCCUGACCCUGACCCUGGAAGACUCAGGGCUACCUGCUUCCCCACCCAGGCCUGGAUACCACAUUGAAGACUCACCAAGAACUGAAGACCUAGCAAGUGGCCAGUGCCUGCUGCCUACUGAUUCUGCCAUAAUUGUCUACCUUGGUCAUAAAUUAGGGUCACUCUUCCAGGAGCAUUCACAUAACAGUCUUUGUGCACUGAAUACACUGACUGUCCAGAAACCGUCUCUUUCCAUGCUGGGGUCACAUAACCUACAUCAUGUCACAUAGCUGAAGGCCCGCCCUGCCAUGUGUGAUGCAGGACUAGGUGCUUCCCCUCUCAUAGGAGCCCCUGGAAAAACAGCACCCACCUCCAUUCAGGGCAAGGCCUGAGACCCUGGCGUGGCCACUAGCUUCCAUCUUGUAGACCGUGGUGGGUCAGGGUGCUUACUUGGCCUACACUGGGUUCUGGCUUGUGUCCCCAGAAUAACAUACACACACACCACAAACUCUAACAACCAAAAGUUGCCAAAGUCAUUGGAGCAGUUGACUGGAGGAGAGCAGUUUUAGGUCUGAUUAGGAACUUAGCUGAAACAGGGUGGUGGACCUCAUGGCCUACAUGGCCUCCAAAGAGUAAGAAACCCUGAACCACCCGCCGCAGCAAGGACACUGAGAGCAAGAGAGAGGCUCUCGGUUGCUGAGGAGUCCCUGUCCCAACUUGGCCCCCAACACUGAGCAUCUCCUUCACAGUUUCUAUCCCAGACCCCAUAAUAACAGGAGGAGCCGAGGGAGCCCUCCCUACUCUCUUGAAUACCAUCAAUAAAGUUCACUGCACCCCUCCCCCCCAAAAGACUUCAGCUGAGCCCAUGUACAGGAAGUGUUUGACAAGCCCAGCUGUGUGCUAGAUAGAAGCCCUGUGCCAGUUACACAUGCUAGGAUCUGGGGAGAUGGCUUAGCCAGCAAAAUGCUUGCCUCAAGUCGGGGACUAGAGUCUGACCAUCAGACCCACAUUAAAAAAGUCAGGCGUAGUGGUCAAAGCUUGUAGCCCAGCAUCCACACAAAUAUAUGUCUGUAGAUACAUACAUAAGAAUAAGUAAUAGAUGUGAAAAGUACCCCCUGGGUCCAGCCACGGAAGCAACAGGGUGCUCAGGGCAUUGGGGAACAGUCCUGGUGUGCCACAGCCCCUGGGUACCCUUCUCAGCUGGCAGCUGGCACCUUUCACAGGUUUCAGAACAGUCUAUCUCCCACCUCAGCACCUGUUGUCCAAGCCUCCCAGGGCCAUGGCUAAUUUACAUUUCAUUUGUAUCCCCCCGCCCCCCACAAGAACAGAGCAUUGGUCUAGGUGCACAGUCCUGCCUACUUACACAACCAGCCAGAGGCUCCUGGUCCUUCAGGAGGAACUGAGUCACUCAGCAAGGCCUUAUAUCUGCCCACAACCAAGGCUCACAGCCUUCCUUCCCCAUGUAACUCUGGAGCCAGGUGGUCACUGUUCUGUGCUGUGGGGCAUCCAGAAGGAACCUGGCACCCACCCACUGACUAGGAUAACUGGAAAGGAGUCUGACCUGAAUGACGCAUUAAACUCCUGCAGAUCUGUGUCAGGGCAAAAAGGGAACGAAA